rnacentral:rRNA from 1 species
CACGUAGGGCGCAAGCGUUGUCCGGAAUUAUUGGGCGUAAAGAGCUCGUAGGUGGUCUGUUGCGUCUGCUGUGAAAACUCGGGGCUUAACCCCGAGCCUGCAGUGGAUACGGGCAGACUAGAGGUAGGUAGGGGAGAAUGGAAUUCCCGGUGUAGCGGUGAAAUGCGCAGAUAUCGGGAGGAACACCGGUGGCGAAGGCGGUUCUCUGGGCCUUACCUGACGCUGAGGAGCGAAAGCUAGGGGAGCGAAUGGG